UACGUAGGGCGCAAGCGUUAUCCGGAAUUAUUGGGCGUAAAGAGCUCGUAGGCGGUUUGUCGCGUCUGCCGUGAAAGUCCGGGGCUCAACUCCGGAUCUGCGGUGGGUACGGGCAGACUAGAGUGAUGUAGGGGAGACUGGAAUUCCUGGUGUAGCGGUGAAAUGCGCAGAUAUCAGGAGGAACACCGAUGGCGAAGGCGGGUUGCUGGGCUGACACUGACGCUGAGGCGCGAAAGCUAGGGGAGCAAACAGG
rnacentral:rRNA from 1 species